GUCUACGGCCAUACCACCCUGAAUCACCUGAUCUCAUCUGAUCUUGGAAAGUAAGCAGAGUUGAGCCUGUUUAGUCUGUGGAUGAGAGACAGUCUAGGAAUACCAGAUGCUAUAGGUU
ensembl:rRNA 5S_rRNA 5S ribosomal RNA